AUUAUAAAUGAUGAAUGAAUAAUAUACUAAUGAUAAACAAUAUUUUGGCAAUGAAUUUUAUAUUUUCAAAAUUUUUAAUAUAAAAUUGAAAUAUUAAAUUUACUAGUUAUUAAUUAUCUAUGGAUUUUUUAUAUGUAGAUAUGGUCCCAAUCCAACAACAAUGAACACCGGUAUGAGUGGGUCAAUACCAACACCAGGCCAUAAUGGAGCUGGUGAUUUUCAGUCUCCACCAAAUGCUCUUAGUGCUGCAGCUUUAGUAGCUGCUGCUGCUACAGCUACUGCAACUGCUACAGCUAGUGUUGUUGCAUUACAAGAAAGACAGCAACAAGAAGUUGCAAUGAAUAGUCAAUAUGGACAAGUAUGCAUUUAAAUAUAAUAGUCUUUUACUAUUUCUAAAAUA
rnacentral:lncRNA from 1 species